GUCACUUUCGUAUAGUGGUUAGUACGCCACGUUGUGGCCGUGGCAGCCCCAGUUCGAUUCUGGGAAGUGACA